rnacentral:rRNA from 1 species
UACGUAGGGUGCAAGCGUUAAUCGGAAUUACUGGGCGUAAAGCGUGCGCAGGCGGUCCGCUAAGACAGAUGUGAAAUCCCCGGGCUUAACCUGGGAACUGCAUUUGUGACUGGCGGGCUAGAGUAUGGCAGAGGGGGGUAGAAUUCCACGUGUAGCAGUGAAAUGCGUAGAGAUGUGGAGGAAUACCGAUGGCGAAGGCAGCCCCCUGGGCCAAUACUGACGCUCAUGCACGAAAGCGUGGGGAGCAAACGGG